rnacentral:rRNA from 1 species
UACGUAGGUCGCAAGCGUUGUCCGGAUUUACUGGGCGUAAAGAGCGCGCAGGCGGCUGGCCAAGUCCGAUGUGAAAGCUUCCGGCUUAACCGGGAAAUUGCAUCGGAAACUGGUCGGCUUGAAGGUGGGAGAGGGUAGCGGAAUUCCCGGUGUAGUGGUGAAAUGCGUAGAUAUCGGGAGGAACACCAGUGGCGAAGGCGGCUACCUGGCCCAUUCUUGACGCUGAGGCGCGAAAGCUAGGGGAGCGAACGGG